rnacentral:ncRNA from 1 species
UCUGUCGGGGUGCCUGAUCGGUUUUUAAAAAACCAACACAGGCUGAGAUCGCAAUUGCGGGUCCCGUUGAACCUGAUCUGGUUAAUGCCAGCGUAGGGAACAGAAG